rnacentral:rRNA from 1 species
AACGAACGCUGGCGGCAUGCCUAACACAUGCAAGUCGAACGAGACCUUCGGGUCUAGUGGCGCACGGGUGCGUACCGCGUGGGAAUCUGCCCUUGGGUUCGGAAUCACUGUUGGAAACGUCUGCUCAUACCGGUUGAUGACGUACGUCCAAAGAUUUAUCGCCCAGGGAUGAGCCCGCGUAGGAUUCGCUAGUUGGUGGGGUAAAGGCCUACCAAGGCGACGAUCCUUAGCUGGUCUGAGAGGAUGAUCAGCCACACUGGGGCUGAGACACGGCCCAGACUCCGACGGGAGGCAGCAGUGGGGAAUAUUGGACGAUGGGCGAAAGCCUGAUCCAGCAAUGCCGCGUGAGUGAGGAAGGCCUUAGGGUUGUAAAGCUCUUUUACCCGGGAUGAUAAUGACAGUACCGGGAGAAUAAGCCCCGGCUAACUCCGUG